UGCUUAAUUAACUAAAAGGGCACCCAAAUGCCCUACAUCUGAUUAUAUUUCUCAAAACUGUUUCUAGGGUUGAAACAUUGGCCCAUUUGAUUAUUCUCACUAUGAACAUUUCAGAACUCUGAAGAUCUGGACAGCUUUCUAACACCUGUUCCUAUCAAUAGAAUGUUGUUAGUUGAUAACUGGGGCAAGAGACUGCAACUACACUUAACGGGAAAGAGCAACAUAGACAACAGAAACAGAAAAGCAAAGGGUAUGUUCAGUGUAUGGUCACACUGAGUGGCUCACUGUGGUGGGAGCUGAGAGUUCUUAAGUGGUUUAAUUAGGACUAGAAUGGAAAUAAAGGUUGUGUGGUUCUCAUGAUGGUUAUGGGGACCUUGCUGAUGUGUUUGAACUUUAUGAGUGUGAGGCCUGAUCCAGGACAGGACAGAAAGAAGUGGAAACAGAAAGAAGGUGGCAGAUGCUAGUG
rnacentral:lncRNA from 1 species